GCGAAAUUUCGAUCUUGGGACGCCGCUAAGUGAUUGAUUUAUAUGGCUCUCGGAUCGUUCUACCUCCCUCCGAAGGCAGGGGUUGCUGGUUCGAUCCCAGCCGGGCGCACCA
rnacentral:tRNA from 1 species